rnacentral:lncRNA from 1 species
GGAUGGUAGAACUAAGAGCCAGAAAAGACUAAGUUCUCGAUAAUCAUUUGGAACUGCAAUAGUGGUCCUGGACUACCUAUCUCUAGACUUCUUUUACAUAGGGAGAAAUAUACUUCUCUGUGAAGCCACAACCUUUUAGGAUUUUCUGUCACUUGCAGAGAGGUGGUAGCAGCUCUCCAGACUGAAAAGGAUCUGGAUGGUUUCAGUGAUGGAGGCAGCAGAUUAUCUGGGCUGAGCUCAAAGUCCCAUGCAAAUGAAGGUAGGCUAUCCAGAGACAGGCGGAGCCAGUGGCCUAUCUUUAAGAAGGAAAACAUGGAAGGGGUAGAGAAGUUAAAGCACUCACCGAAGAUUUUUCCAGCUAUUACGUGAGUGGCCACCCCAGUUCUGUCCAACACUGCAGCCACUGGCCAUGCCGGGCUCUCAAGCACCUGAAAUGUGCCUUGUCAUAAUCAAGAUACGCUGUCAUUGUAACAAACACACUGGAUUUUGAGGAUUUAGAGUGAAAAGGAAUGCAAAAUUGCCCAUUAACAAUUGUUUUACUAUUAACUAUAUGUUCAAAUGCUAUUUUGGUUACACUGAGGUAAAUAAAAUAUAUUGUUGAUAUUAAUUUUAUCUGUUACUUUUCUUAGAACAUGGCUACUAGAAAAUUUAAAAUCCUGUGCAUGACUUGUAUUAUAUUUCUAUUGGACAGGGCCGGGCUACACAUUUAGAGCCCAUAAUCAUAAACAGCAGGGCUUGCUUUCAUAAUUUUCUUGGAAACUAAGGUAUCAACUCUUUAUGUAUUUUGUCUAGAUUCAAAAUGCUGUAUACAGAGAGCCUUGAAGAGUUGAUAAAUCUAGGGCUUUCUGUUGGAAAGCUGGAAUUUGUUUUCCCCCAAAGGGAAAACAUUAGAUGACAUCAGGCAUAUAUGUACAGGAAUUGAGGAUGGAAGCAGGGGGGUGUCAGUCCGAUAUUAAUAAUUCCGGAGUGAACGUAGAAAGGCAUUCAGCAUCUGAAGAAAGGCCUGCAGUGGAAGCAGGAAAUCUGAGUUUUAGCGUUCCUUCUGCCACUCAGAGGAGGAGCUGAGAAAAAGCACCACGGGUGACAAUGCAAGGUCUGCACACAUGGGAGUCCCCAGGACCAAGUCUCCAAGGCCUGGGGGAGCAAGUGCAGAUGAGAGCAUUUUAAUUCCAAUUUUAUAAGGAAAAACAGAAUUUCCUGAAUAGAAUGCCCCUGAACUCCUUUGAGCAUGGAGCUCACCAAGGUUUAGGAAACUUGUUAAAAAAGCAAAACUAAGACAAAGAACGCCUCAUUAUUGUGGUCAGACUCCUCCCCUCCUG